rnacentral:rRNA from 1 species
UGGGGAAUAUUGGACAAUGGGUGAGAGCCUGAUCCAGCCAUGCCGCGUGCAGGAAGAAGGCGUUAUGCGUUGUAAACUGCUUUUUGCCAGGGGAUAAAAAGACCGUGCGCGGUUAAUUGAAGGUACCUGGUGAAUAAGCCACGGCUAACUACGUGCCAGCAGCCGCGGUAAUACGUAGGUGGCAAGCGUUGUCCGGAUUUAUUGGGUUUAAAGGGUGCGUAGGUGGCCCUGUAAGUCAGUGGUGAAAUAUCUCAGCUUAACUGAGAGGGUGCCAUUGAUACUGCAGGGCUUGAGUACAGAUGAGGUAGGCGGAAUUGACGGUGUAGCGGUGAAAUGCAUAGAUAUCGUCAAGAACACCGAUAGCGAAGGCAGCUUACCAAGCUGUAACUGACACUGAGGCACGAAAGUGUGGGGAUCAAACAGAAUUAGAUACCCACGUAGUCCCUGAGCGGGCUGGCAAGGCGCAU